rnacentral:rRNA from 1 species
GUGGGGAAUAUUGCACAAUGGGCGAAAGCCUGAUGCAGCAACGCCGCGUGAGGGACGACGGCCUUCGGGUUGUAAACCUCUUUUAGUAGGGAAGAAGCGAAAGUGACGGUACCUGCAGAAAAAGCACCGGCUAACUACGUGCCAGCAGCCGCGGUAAUACGUAGGGUGCAAGCGUUAUCCGGAAUUAUUGGGCGUAAAGAGCUCGUAGGCGGUCUGUCGCGUCUGCUGUGAAAACUGGAGGCUCAACCUCCAGCCUGCAGUGGGUACGGGGAGACUAGAGUGCGGUAGGGGAGAUUGGAAUUCCUGGUGUAGCGGUGGAAUGCGCAGAUAUCAGGAGGAACACCGAUGGCGAAGGCAGAUCUCUGGGCCGUAACUGACGCUGAGGAGCGAAAGCGUGGGGAGCGAACAGGAUUAGAAACCCCAGUAGUCC